GCACGAGUCGAGGGCGCCGCCACAGUCCUCGUGGUUCCCGCCGAGGAAGGUUGUUCGUCAUGCAAGAGGCAGUUCCCGUAACCCGGACUGACAUGGAACAAGCGUUGUAUUGUGCAAGCUUUUGGUCUUAUCCAGAUCUACCCAAAUGUUUCCUUGAUCUGAAGAUUCAACUACAAUAAUGGCAUCUCUAAUAUAUUUUUCUAAUUAACAGUGUGUAACAGAUACAAGAAUUGAAAUUUAACAAGUUUCCCAUUAGUAUGAUCAUUAAUACUAUAACAGAGUUGUGAGUGGAACAGCUGCAAAACUUUUGUUAACUGGAGUCUUACAAAUUUUAUUAAGAAACUGUUCUC